rnacentral:misc_RNA from 1 species
GGAAUAUUGCACAAUGGGCGCAAGCCUGAUGCAGCGACGCCGCGUGGGGGAUGACGGCCUUCGGGUUGUAAACCUCUUUCGCCAGGGAAGAAGCGUAAGUGACGGUACCUGGAGAAGAAGCGCCGGCUAACUACGUGCCAGCAGCCGCGGUAAUACGUAGGGCGCAAGCGUUGUCCGGAAUUAUUGGGCGUAAAGAGCUCGUAGGCGGUUUGUCGCGUCUGGUGUGAAAACCCGAGGCUCAACCUCGGGCCUGCACCGGGUACGGGCAGACUGGAGUGCGGUAGGGGAGACUGGAAUUCCUGGUGUAGCGGUGGAAUGCGCAGAUAUCAGGAGGAACACCGAUGGCGAAGGCAGGUCUCUGGGCCGCAACUGACGCUGAGGAGCGAAAGCAUGGGGAGCGAACAGGA